rnacentral:rRNA from 1 species
GAUGAACGCUGGCGGCGUGCCUAAUACAUGCAAGUCGAGCGAACGGACGAGAAGCUUGCUUCUCUGAUGUUAGCGGCGGACGGGUGAGUAACACGUGGAUAACCUACCUAUAAGACUGGGAUAACUUCGGGAAACCGGAGCUAAUACCGGAUGAUAUUUUGAACCGCAUGGUUCAAAAGUGAAAGACGGUCUUGCUGUCACUUAUAGAUGGAUCCGCGCUGCAUUAGCUAGUUGGUAAGGUAACGGCUUACCAAGGCAACGAUGCAUAGCCGACCUGAGAGGGUGAUCGGCCACACUGGAACUGAGACACGGUCCAGACGCCUACGGGAGGCAGCAGUAGGGAAUCUUCCGCAAUGGGCGAAAGCCUGACGGAGCAACGCCGCGUGAGUGCUGAAGGUCUUCGGAUCGUAAACCUCUGUUAUUAGGGAAGAACAUAUGUGUAAGUAACUGUGCACAUCUUGACGGUACCUAAUCAGAAAGCCACGGCUAACUACGUG